GACGAACGCUGGCGGCGUGCUUAACACAUGCAAGUCGAACGGAAAGGCCUUUUCGGAGGUACUCGAGUGGCGAACGGGUGAGUAACACGUAGGUGAUCUGCCCCGCACUCUGGGAUAAGCCUGGGAAACUGGGUCUAAUACCGGUUAGGACCGCACUUUUGUGUGUGUGGGGGAAAGAUUGUUCGGCGUAUGUUGUGCCCGCGGCCUAUCAGCUAGCUGGUAGGGUAAUGGCGUACCAAGGCGACGACGCGUAGCCGAACUGAGAGUGUGCUCGGCCACACUGGAACUGAGACACGGUCCAGACGCCUACGGGAGGCAGCAGUAGGGAAUCUUCCGCAAUGGGCGAAAGCCUGACGGAGCAACGCCGCGUGAGUGAUGAAGGUCUUCGGAUCGGAAAACUCUGUUAGUAGGGAAGAACAAAUGUGUAAGUAACUAUGCACGUCUUGACGGUACCUAAUCAGAAAGCCACGGCUAACUACGUG
rnacentral:rRNA from 1 species